GACGAACGCUGGCGGCAUGCCUAAUACAUGCAAGUCGAGCGGACGUUUUUGAAGCUUGCUUCAAAAACGUUAGCGGCGGACGGGUGAGUAACACGUGGGCAACCUACCUUAUCGACUGGGAUAACUCCGGGAAACCGGGGCUAAUACCGGAUAACAUCUAGCACCUCCUGGUGCCGGAUUAAAAGAGGGCUUCUUGCUCUCACGAUGAGAUGGGCCCGCGGCGCAUUAGCUAGUUGGAGAGGUAACGGCUCCCCAAGGCGACGAUGCGUAGCCGACCGGGUAGGGUGAUCGGCCACACUGGGACUGAGACACGGCCCAGACUCCUACGGGAGGCAGCAGUAGGGAAUCUUCCGCAAUGGACGAAAGUCUGACGGAGCAACGCCGCGUGAGUGAUGAAGGGUUUCGGCUCGUAAAGCUCUGUUAUGAGGGAAGAACACGUACCGUUCGAAUAGGGCGGUACCUUGACGGUACCUCAUCAGAAAGCCACGGCUAACUACGUGCCAGCCGCCGCCGUAA
rnacentral:rRNA from 1 species